GGUUAAGCGACUAAGCGUACACGGUGGAUGCCCUGGCAGUCAGAGGCGAUGAAGGGCGUGCUAAUCUGCGAUAAGCGCCGGUAAGGUGAUAUGAACCGUUAUAACCGGCGAUACCCGAAUGGGGAAACCCAGUGUGACUCGUCACACUAUCAUUAACUGAAUCCAUAGGUUAAUGAGGCGAACCGGGGGAACUGAAACAUCUAAGUACCCCGAGGAAAAGAAAUCAACCGAGAUUCCCCCAGUAGCGGCGAGCGAACGGGGAGGAGCCCAGAGCCUGAAUCAGCAUGUGUGUUAGUGGAAGCGUCUGGAAAGGCGCGCGAUACAGGGUGACAGCCCCGUACACAAAAGCGCAUGUGCUGUGAGCUCGAUGAGUAGGGCGGGACACGUGGUAUCCUGUCUGAAUAUGGGGGGACCAUCCUCCAAGGCUAAAUACUCCUGACUGACCGAUAGUGAACCAGUACCGUGAGGGAAAGGCGAAAAGAACCCCGGCGAGGGGAGUGAAAAAGAACCUGAAACCGUGUACGUACAAGCAGUGGGAGCACCCUUUGGGGUGUGACUGCGUACCUUUUGUAUAAUGGGUCAGCGACUUAUAUUCUGUAGCAAGGUUAACCGAAUAGGGGAGCCGCAGGGAAACCGAGUCUUAAUUGGGCGUUAAGUUGCAGGGUAUAGACCCGAAACCCGGUGAUCUAGCCAUGGGCAGGUUGAAGGUUGGGUAACACUAACUGGAGGACCGAACCGACUAAUGUUGAAAAAUUAGCGGAUGACCUGUGGCUGGGGGUGAAAGGCCAAUCAAACCGGGAGAUAGCUGGUUCUCCCCGAAAGCUAUUUAGGUAGCGCCUCGUGAACUCAUCUCCGGGGGUAGAGCACUGUUUCGGCUAGGGGGCCAUCCCGGCUUACCAACCCGAUGCAAACUGCGAAUACCGGAGAAUGUUAUCACGGGAGACACACGGCGGGUGCUAACGUCCGUCGUGAAGAGGGAAACAACCCAGACCGCCAGCUAAGGUCCCAAAGUCAUGGUUAAGUGGGAAACGAUGUGGGAAGGCCCAGACAGCCAGGAUGUUGGCUUAGAAGCAGCCAUCAUUUAAAGAAAGCGUAAUAGCUCACUGGUCGAGUCGGCCUGCGCGGAAGAUGUAACGGGGCUAAACCAUGCACCGAAGCUGCGGCAGCGACGCUGAUGCGUUGUUGGGUAGGGGAGCGUUCUGUAAGCCUGCGAAGGUGGCCUGUGAGGGUUGCUGGAGGUAUCAGAAGUGCGAAUGCUGACAUAAGUAACGAUAAAGCGGGUGAAAAGCCCGCUCGCCGGAAGACCAAGGGUUCCUGUCCAACGUUAAUCGGGGCAGGGUGAGUCGACCCCUAAGGCGAGGCCGAAAGGCGUAGUCGAUGGGAAACGGGUUAAUAUUCCCGUACUUGGUGUUACUGCGAAGGGGGGACGGAGAAGGCUAUGUUGGCCGGGCGACGGUUGUCCCGGUUUAAGCGUGUAGGUGUGUGUUCCAGGUAAAUCCGGUUCACUUUAACACUGAGGCGUGACGACGAGGCACUACGGUGCUGAAGCAACAAAUGCCCUGCUUCCAGGAAAAGCCUCUAAGCAUCAGGUAACAUCAAAUCGUACCCCAAACCGACACAGGUGGUCAGGUAGAGAAUACCAAGGCGCUUGAGAGAACUCGGGUGAAGGAACUAGGCAAAAUGGUGCCGUAACUUCGGGAGAAGGCACGCUGACACGUAGGUGAAGUGAUUUACUCAUGGAGCUGAAGUCAGUCGAAGAUACCAGCUGGCUGCAACUGUUUAUUAAAAACACAGCACUGUGCAAACACGAAAGUGGACGUAUACGGUGUGACGCCUGCCCGGUGCCGGAAGGUUAAUUGAUGGGGUCAGCGCAAGCGAAGCUCCUGAUCGAAGCCCCGGUAAACGGCGGCCGUAACUAUAACGGUCCUAAGGUAGCGAAAUUCCUUGUCGGGUAAGUUCCGACCUGCACGAAUGGCGUAAUGAUGGCCAGGCUGUCUCCACCCGAGACUCAGUGAAAUUGAACUCGCUGUGAAGAUGCAGUGUACCCGCGGCAAGACGGAAAGACCCCGUGAACCUUUACUAUAGCUUGACACUGAACAUUGAGCCUUGAUGUGUAGGAUAGGUGGGAGGCUUUGAAGUGUGGACGCCAGUCUGCAUGGAGCCGACCUUGAAAUACCACCCUUUAAUGUUUGAUGUUCUAACGUGGACCCGUAAUCCGGGUUGCGGACAGUGUCUGGUGGGUAGUUUGACUGGGGCGGUCUCCUCCUAAAGAGUAACGGAGGAGCACGAAGGUUGGCUAAUCCUGGUCGGACAUCAGGAGGUUAGUGCAAUGGCAUAAGCCAGCUUGACUGCGAGCGUGACGGCGCGAGCAGGUGCGAAAGCAGGUCAUAGUGAUCCGGUGGUUCUGAAUGGAAGGGCCAUCGCUCAACGGAUAAAAGGUACUCCGGGGAUAACAGGCUGAUACCGCCCAAGAGUUCAUAUCGACGGCGGUGUUUGGCACCUCGAUGUCGGCUCAUCACAUCCUGGGGCUGAAGUAGGUCCCAAGGGUAUGGCUGUUCGCCAUUUAAAGUGGUACGCGAGCUGGGUUUAGAACGUCGUGAGACAGUUCGGUCCCUAUCUGCCGUGGGCGCUGGAGAACUGAGGGGGGCUGCUCCUAGUACGAGAGGACCGGAGUGGACGCAUCACUGGUGUUCGGGUUGUCAUGCCAAUGGCACUGCCCGGUAGCUAAAUGCGGAAGAGAUAAGUGCUGAAAGCAUCUAAGCACGAAACUUGCCCCGAGAUGAGUUCUCCCUGAGACUUAGAGUCUCCUGAAGGAACGUUGAAGACGACGACGUUGAUAGGCCGGGUGUGUAAGCGCAGCGAUGCGUUGAGCUAACCGGUACUAAUGAACCGUGAGGCUUAACCUU
rnacentral:rRNA from 1 species